AUGUGUUUAGCUUGAAAAUACAUUUAUGAUUUAUUUAUUUAUUGUUGUGGAAAAUCAGUGUAUUUCUGAAAACGUUCUUCUGUUUAAAUCUUUGCAUUACUCUUUCCAUCUUCAUGACAUGGUCUGAGCGUUACAAUGGUGAAUAAGUCACCACAAUGACAUGGUAAGGUACAGUAAAUCAUCUGACAGCAGUAUAAAUUACACCCAAUCUGAAUGUUUUGUAUAUGAAUACAUGUAUUUAGUUGUUUUAAAGUGCAAAUUCACCGCAUUUGUUUCUUUUUGUGCAUAACUCUUUUCAUUUGCAUGUCAUGGUAUGAGCAUCAAAAUGGCAAACUUAUGACGGCAAUAAAAGGUAAUAAAAAUUUCAACGUUUUCUAAAAACAUUAACACGCGCAUUAGCGGAUGUUAAGUUCCAGCAUAAACCUUUAUUUUCAGAAAAUCACUAUUUCUGAACAAUUUUCUCCUUAUUUUUUAUUUUUUGCAUGACUCUUGUGUCUACAUGCAAUUGUUUGAGUCAUCACCAUGACAAUAUGAGUUUGAGCAUCAAGAAGGCUAACUUAUCACAGCAGUGAAGUUUGAGUGUCACAAUGAUAAAUAUGGGAAGAUCACAUGACAGCAAUAAAGGCGUGAACAUCAGUAAUCUGGACAUUCUCCGGGCAGCUCUUGUUUGGACUCAGUCGCUGGCUGCUGCUCUCCGCUGGCAUGACUCAAGAUCUCUUCAUGCACUGUCUGCUACAUGCUUUCUGCUAGUGCUGCAGCUGUGUCUAGACAACUGUCGGGACAUUUCAUGCAACCUGUAUGCAUUUCUUUCUUCUGUUGUACACAAAAGAUUUUGACUUUUGAACGAUGUUGGUAACAAACAGCUGAGAGUAGCCAUUGACUUUUAUUGAAUGAAAUAAAAAAUACU